AGUGAACGCUGGCGGUAGGCCUAACACAUGCAAGUCGAACGGCAGCACAGUAAGAGCUUGCUCUUACGGGUGGCGAGUGGCGGACGGGUGAGGAAUACAUCGGAAUCUACUUUUUCGUGGGGGAUAACGUAGGGAAACUUACGCUAAUACCGCAUACGACCUACGGGUGAAAGCAGGGGAUCUUCGGACCUUUCGCGAUUGAAUGAGCCGAUGUCGGAUUAGCUAGUUGGCGGGGUAAAGGCCCACCAAGGCGACGAUCCGUAGCUGGUCUGAGAGGCUGAUCAGCCACACUGGAACUGAGACACGGUCCAGACUCCUACGGGAGGCAGCAGUGGGGAAUAUUGGACAAUGGGCGCAAGCCUGAUCCAGCCAUACCGCGUGGGUGAAGAAGGCCUUCGGGUUGUAAAGCCCUUUUGUUGGGAAAGAAAAGCAGCAGGUUAAUACCCCGCUGUUCUGACGGUACCCAAAGAAUAAGCACCGGCUAACUUCGUG
rnacentral:rRNA from 1 species